CAAUGGCGUGUACAGAGUGUUGCAAGGCAGCGAUGCCAAGCCAAUCACUAAAAGCACGUCACAGUUCGGAUUGCAGGCUGCAACUCGCCUGUAUGAAGCUGGAAUCGCUAGUAAUCGCGCAUCAGCAAUGGCGCGGUGAAUACGUUCCCGGACCUUGUACACACCGCCCGUC
rnacentral:rRNA from 1 species